UUUGCCAUUUGAAGCUGUGUGACAUUGAGUAACACACUUAACCUCUCUGACCCUUUUGCUUACCAGUUAAUGGGGGUAUUUCUUCCUUGAGAGGUUAUUGAGAGAGUUCAGUAAAAGAUAGCUUGUGAAAUCAUUGCUGAUUAUUAGUAUCUAUUCUUGGAGGACAAGCGCCGCUCCAUACCCUGAGCAGAGCGAGAAGGCCAACUCAGCUCCUGCCCUCGCAGAGCUUCCAGUCUGCGUGGCUGGAGCUGGGAGAACAGAGGACUCCAGAAGGUUGAGCUGACCCCGAGCGGAGAGGAAGGAAGAAAGAUAAUCUGUAGGUGCAGAGUCGCUGACUUCUACACAUACCAGAGAAGUCGAAGCCCAACCGUAGAAGACACUGCCGUCCAGACACAAAUGGCCCACUGCUUCCUAUGCUUCCUCUUCUGGUGACAGGCACUGCUCCCAGCCAUGCCCAGAGCCCCUUUCCUGUGGCAAUAACAGAUGUCAAUCAAAGGGAGAGCACAUGACCCAAACAAGGUCAAUCAGCUGCCUUCCCUGGGACUGAUUCAGAGGCCCAAGGAGACAGAGGUCUCAUUUGACUGGAAUUUCUAACUGAGGCUGUUGGUGGCCACAUCCCAAUGGGGAGAAAUGAGGCCCAGAUGAUGAAACUAAGGAUCCCAGAGGCUGAGUGACUUCCCCAGAGUCCCUCGGUGGGUAAGUGGAGGAGGUGAGUCUGACGGCCAGGCCCAGGUGCUCUGAUGACAGGCCUGCUGUGAUUUGGUCCCCUCACCCCACCCUUGCCUGGAAGAUCUGGCCUCACAGGGUGUGCCAGAAACAGCUGGGCUGGUCUACUCUGCUCAGACCCCCCGUUCAUGUGUCUUCUCAGAGAGGCCUUUCUAAAAGCACCCUGGUGCUGGAAACAGUGCCCUUUAGUCUCAUUGUAACCAAUGAGAAAUGGGAAAUGGUGAGGACAGCCUCUGCCCUGCCCUGCCCUCCUCUGAGAUGUGUCCAAGACCAGGAUGAGGGAUCUCAAAAAAUGGCUCUGGGAAGCCAGCGUCCACCAGGUGGCCUGGGGUCGGGAGAAGGGGACUACCUGUGGGUUUCCUUCAUUCCCAUUCAUGGCUGGUCCUAUGGCACAGGUUGACUUGGUGGUGAGAAGAACAUGGCCCAGGGAGUGCUGGUUCCAGGCUAAAAGGAGUGAUCUAUGGAGCAGGUCCAAACCCAACCUAGAGCCUGGGAUCCAUGAAACCCCAGCCAAGCUGCAGACACGGGAGGGAGAGGCGUGUGCUUGUGGAUGAUGUCGCAGAGACUCUUGUAUGCAGCAAAAGUGGAGCAAAACACUUUUGCUCU